AGCCAUCAGACCAUAUUGUUGGUUAGACCUGCCCUAUGAGAUAUUAAAUGGCCGCAGUACUUUGACUGUGCUAAGGUAGCGUAAUCAGUUGGCUUUUAAUUGGAGUCGGGAAUGAAUGGAAAAACUGGGUCUAGCUAUCAAAGAAUAUUUCUUUGAAUUUACUUUUUAAGUGAAAAAGCUUAAAAUAGAAAAAAAGACGAGAAGACCCUUAGAAUUUUUAUUAUAGAUUAACUAAUGUUUUUAUUGGGGCGAUAGAGAAACAAUUAGAACUUUCUUUAAAAUCUGCCGAUUGUGUUAUGAGAGAAUAAAUUACCUGAGGGAUAACAGCAUUAUUUUAUAAUUAGUUUGUGACCUCGAUGUUGGACUAGGAAACUAAUAGGCUAGCCGUUUAUUAUGUUGGUUCUGUUCGAACUUAUAUUCCU
rnacentral:rRNA from 1 species